CAACCCUCAAGCAUUGCUUGGUAUUGGGCUCCGCUGCUCACCCAGCGGGCCUUAAAAUCAGUGGCGGUGCCGUCGGGCCCUGAGCGUAGUAAAUAUCCUCGCUACAGGGACCCGGUGGACGCUGGCCAUUAACCCCCACUUUCUAA
rnacentral:misc_RNA from 1 species